rnacentral:rRNA from 1 species
CCUACGGGUGGCAGCAGUGGGGAAUAUUGCGCAAUGGGCGAAAGCCUGACGCAGCGACGCCGCGUGAGGGAUGAAGGCCUUCGGAUCGUAAACCUCUGUCAGCAGGGAAGAACGGUUACUGUGUUAUUCAGCAGUGAAUUGACGGUACCUGCAAAGGAAGCACCGGCUAACUCCGUGCCAGCAGCCGCGGUAAUACGGAGGGUGCGAGCGUUAAUCGGAAUUACUGGGCGUAAAGCGCUCGUAGGCGGUAUGUCAAGUCAAGGGUGAAAUCCCCGCGCUCAACGUGGGAACUGCCUUUGAAACUGGCAAACUGGAGUGUGUGAGAGGAUGGUAGAAUUCCAGGUGUAGGAGUGAAAUCCGUAGAGAUCUGGAGGAACAUCGGUGGCGAAGGCGGCUAUCUGGCACAUGACUGACGCUGAGGUGCGAAAGCGUGGGUAGCAAACAGGAUUAGAUACCCGUGUAGUC